GCCCGCGAAGCGCGUCCCGCGCCCUGGCCUCUGGCUCCAGGAGCAGCAGGAGCAGCAGGGCCGCCACCCUCCCAGGCUGGAGGCUCAUGGCUCCCAGUCUUCUCCACGCGGGGCCCCGCCUGCGCUCCCGCCAGCGCUCCCGCGAGCACUACCGCUACCCCUACCGCCAAUGCCAUGGCUACCGGGUCGCAGGCGCCAGGCAGCAGCAUGUCCCCGGUCGGGGGCUGAGGUGGGCGUCAGUCCCUGGAUGGCCCAGACACUUGGGGGCUUGGGGCGGCAGGCGGGCUGGGAGCCCGGACUCACAGCACCGCUGAGCCUCAGCUGUGUCCCUCACCGGGCUCUGGCCCUGGCCCACACGCAUGCGCGCACUCGUGCGCGCGCUCCCGCACACCUGCUUGGGCCCAGGAUCCAACCGUCCCAUCCCCCCACCCCCACCCCCACCCCCCCCGCAGGGGGCACAGCUCCUGGGCGCCAGGGUCUGCACCACCGCACCUCCCUGUGCCCACCAGAUGCUCUGACCGACUGCCCGCCAGCCUGACAGCCGGGAGCCAGGCAGAGGGCUCCAGAGACCAGGCCAGUGGGACAGGGCCUGGCAGGUGUCUCCUCCCAAGGUGGACACCUCCCUGUCACCCCUCAAGAGACCCAGGAACCUUUUGCAUAGCUGGUUUCCCAGGGAGGUGGCUGGACGUGAACCCAGUGAUCCCUCUUGCAUCCUAGGCCUCUGUGUUUCUUCUUCACUCUGCCUCACAUUCCCGCCAACCGUGGACAUCUACAGCCGUGCACCCUCCUCGCUCGGGACCCGUGACCGCAAGGGCAGCCCUACGGGACAGGGAGACGCACUGGGCACACGAGACUCCUUCCACCUCCCUUCUCCUUGAAAGGCCGGUGCUUUUCAGCUCUGCAUGCCCUUCCCAUGGCCCUACCUGGACUGCACCACCAGCGGUCCCACCCUCAAGUCCACCGUGCCACCGCUGACUGUGGCACGUCCUUCAACUCUGUGGAACCGCCUGUCCACCUCCACUACCUCCCAACCCCCAUGUUUUCUUCCCAGUGUGCCUCAGAUCCCAAAUCCUCCGUGCCAUUUUUCUUUUCUUGGGUUUCAAUUGCUUUUCAACGUUUCUUUCUUUUGGUGAGAGAGAGAGAGAGAGAGAGAGAGAGAGAGAGAGGCCAUCACCCACGCGAUUGUGCAGCAAGCAUCGACUGAACGUGCAAGGCGUACCAGACCCUGCUGUGGAGGGCCAGUGUGCAGAGGUGGGCAAGGAAACGUAUGCCUGAGGAUUCAAGGGGAGCCACAGGACUACCGUCCAGGGUGAGGAGGACGAGAGAGACCAAGCAGUCAAGGCUUUCUACGAAAGGAGCAUCAAGGGCACGAACCUACGCAGCCCUGGAAGGAGAGCAGGGAGUCACGGACAUAUGGAUCAUCGAAGGCCAGUCCCAACGGGCAGCCUUCAUCACGUGUCCUCACCUGAGGACUUGCAACGAGGCACCCCCAGACUGGACCUGGUAGAAACAGGACUUACAGCAAAAGCACAAGACUUGUCUGUGGACUUCAUGGUCAUGGGAAGGACACCAUCCCACAAGCCCCACCAAGGGACUCUGGACUCUGGUGACUUGGACUUACUGUGUACCAUCAGGACCUGUCAGGACUCUUUCAAGUGCACAAGGGGAAGAGAAAACUAAGCCACAAACCUAGGAGAAGAGAGAUGCAAAACCUUUCUCCCCCCAGGGCCAAAGUCAAUGAUCUCAUGCUAUACAGAUGCAAAUGACCUCUGCUAGCAUUCCAAAGGUCACCAGUUUUCAGCCUCAUUUAUCAGUCUCCUACCACAAGGGCAUUAGGGUUCCAUUGGCUCCAUAGGGACCAUUUGCCUGCAUUCUCCAUGGGAGCAGCUUCCUAUCCUACCAGAACCCUCACGUGUGUCUCCCUGUCAUGGCACGUACGGAUAGAUACGAGAAUGACGUUUCCCUUUCAUUUGGAACAUUUGAAAGAAACAAAGAACCUCAAAUGAUACCACUAAAGGAACACCGUCGAGUUCAUUACUACAGCGAAUGAAUGGCUGUGCCCAUGGCCAGCACCUGCCCCGGGCAACGUUCUAUUUCCUAGUUGUUCAUGUUUCUUCACUCUGGAGACACAGGGAGCUAGAGAGCAAGCCGGCAAGCCAGUGACCGCCAGUGGGGGAGGGGCAGAGUAGCAGAGAGCCAGACACACAGAAUCUGAAAACAGGCUCCAGGGCCUGAGCUGUGGGCACAGAGCCCAGCGCAGGCCUGGAACUCAGGAACCGCGAGGGCGUGACCUGAGCCCAAGUCGGAAGCUCAACCCACUGAACCACCCAGGCGCCCGGGGAAGGUUCCAUUCAGGAGUCCACUCCAUCCAUCCCCGCCCAUUUCCGCAAGGUCAGAGCCCUUACGACA